GCCAGUGUGGUGUAGUGGUUUUGAGUGCUGGACUACAACUCUAGAGUCCAGGGUUCAAUUCCCAACUGGGCCA